ACCAAGGCUUACUACUUCCAUCUAAAUUCAACACAUAAUCCAUUCUACGACUACCAAUUCAAUAAUACUUCCAUAUUCUUAUCAAUUCAUCUCCUACUUAUUCUCUUUGUAGUUUAUAUAUAUUCAAUUACUGAUCUUCAACUUAUUAUAUUCAAUUUCUCAAUUCAUCACACAAAAUUCAAUAUCUUCACUUAAUACAACAUAAUUCGAUAAUCUCAAUUCUCAAGGUCACAGAUUUUUUUCAAAACGGUCAGUCCAAAGUCAUAUUCCACAAUAUUCUAAUCACAGUUUCAACAAUAUUUCUCUCAAUCAUAAUUCUUCAUAAGUAAAUAAUAAAAGCAAAAAAAAUAAAGAAGUGGCACCAAGCUUAUCUCGCCUUACGACUCUCACACUCUGGCCCCGAUCUCUCUUUUUUCAACCUCUUUAUCCUAAUAAAAGAUGGACCAUCGGCCAGCACAUUUCAAAAGUUAUGAACCUAUGAAUUCUUAACUAUUUGUUCCAGUAACAACCUACUAUUACCAACUAAACUAUCUAAGCAUAAGUCUAAUUCUCAAGGUUAUUAAUAACCAAUCAAUAACUUAUCACAAAAUUUAUUUACAUAUUCUACAUAGCUCCACUCUUCAUUGUAGAGCGUCCUCACAAAUAUUAUUUAGCAUCAACUUAUAAAGACAUAGCAGCGUUGGCUUCUUCAGUCAAUGGCAUUGCCUUACUAUCCUUUGAAUUGGAGACCUCCUCCUUUGCUAUAUCUUUGUCGUCUAUCUCAGUGUUCGAUGGUUAUCCAUCAAAAUAUACCAUCAGAUCAACAUUCAACAAACCCAAUUCCCGUACUUAGAACUCAAGAUGAAUAAUUUGGUUCUCAUACUCUUCCAACAUCUUUUGCCAUUCUUCUGUCAGUUUCAAAGGUAUUUACGAAGGUGUUGUCACUGAAAUUGGCGUAUUGGUCCGCACUAAAUUAUUGGCCUCCUUUGUUAAUACGACUAGUUUAGUCUGUAACAUUGCAACCUCUACUUGGAAGUGCUCUUGCCGUUCCUUCCAAUUGGUCUCCAUCCUUGCUUUCUCAAACACCAUGUUCGUCAUCUUUUCUUUUUUUGCCAUCCGCUUCUCCUCAA
rnacentral:lncRNA from 1 species